GGUGUUGAGUUCGGAGCAUGAUAAAAUGGUAUCAGAGUUUAGGUUAUGAUCAUUGGGGAUUAUGAUAUAAGUGAUUAGGAUUUGAUAAAUGAUAUUAGAGCUUAAUUUUAAGUCACUAGGGAUUAUGAAGAGAUAUCAAAACUUUAUGCAUGAUCAAUAGGAUGUGACAGAGUGAAAUCAGAGAAUAUGAUAAACAAUACUAGAGCUCAGGUUUAAGGUCACUAGGGAUUGUCAUAUAAGUGAUAUCAAAACUUUGAGAUUAUAAUCAAUAGAGUAUGAUUGAUAAUAUCAGAGUUUAAGAUUAUGAUCAUUA
rnacentral:lncRNA from 1 species